GAUGAACGCUGGCGGCGUGGCUAAGGCAUGCAAGUCGAACGGAAUACUAUGAGUAGUAAUACAAGUGGUGUUUAGUGGCGAACGGGUGCGUAACACGUGGAUACAUUCCGGAAAGCGGGGGAUAGCCCAGGGAAACUUGGAUUAAUACCGCAUCUGGUCGAGAGACUAAAGACGGGGAUCGAAAGACCUGUUACUUUGCGAUUGGUCCGCGGCCUAUCAGCUAGUUGGCGGGGUCAAAGCCCACCAAGGCUACGACGGGUAGCUGGUCUCAGAGGACGACCAGCCACACUGGAACUGAGACACGGUCCAGACACCUACGGGUGGCAGCAGUCGAGAAUCUUUCACAAUGGGGGCAACCCUGAUGGAGCGACGCCGCGUGGAGGAUAAGGUCUUCGGAUUGUAAACUCCUGUCAUGCGUGAACAAGGUUGCUUGGUUAAUACCUGGGCAAAUUGAUGGUAACGCAAGAAGAAGAGACGGCUAACUCUGUGCCAGCCGCCGCCGUAA
rnacentral:rRNA from 1 species